rnacentral:rRNA from 1 species
AUGUAAAAUGACUCUCGGCAACGGAUAUCUCGGCUCUUGCAUCGAUGAAGAACGUAGCGAAAUGCGAUACUUGGUGUGAAUUGCAGAAUCCCGUGAACCAUCGAGUCUUUGAACGCAAGUUGCGCCCAAAGCCAUUAGGCUGAGGGCACGCCUGCCUGGGUGUCACACAUCGUCACCCCCCUGCCCGCCACACUUAACCAAAAUAAAU